UUGAAAACGCGAUGAGAGAACCAAAAGCAAUUCCAAUCGAGUUGAAGUUUUGAGCAGCAGCAUUCACCCAUACCUAUCAGUGAUAAAAACGGUCUAUGGGAGUCGUGAGAAUACGGUUUUGUAAUUCUUCGAACAAUCUUUGUUUACUACCAAAUGGAACGAGAAUUCUUUGGUGUGGACGUUUGUGUGCGAUUUGUUAUGUCGAAGACUCGCACCCGGAAACGAGGUCGACUUUCGAAAAGUUUGAUUAAUAUUUUUACCGCAUCGUUGCGAGGCCCAUUCCGCACUAAAUUAAUUUAUUUGUUGUGUAAAGUAAUUUAACGGUCCGCAAGCUGCAGCCAUUGAAAUCUAUGUAUUAUUAAUUGUUUCGCUCGUUUUGAAAUUUAAGUCAGAAUAAAACGAUUUUAUUAUUUUUAUCAACAAAAUACUCGUCAAUAAUAAACGAAACACAGUUGUUGUUUA